CUACCUCAAGAGGUUUCAAGCAGGCAUCAGUUCUGAAGAGCCUUCCAUGAUCUUCAUUUCCUGCCUGUCCUGGGUUUCUGGGCUGUGGCUUGGGCCCUAUAGCUGUCCUUUGGUGAAGAAUAAAAGACGGACCGACUGCUACCCAUCGCUAAGAGAGUCCUGGGUCCUCAGCUUUCAUUGUUCAGUCAGGAGGCUUCGUGGGCGACCCUGCAGGGCCCCUCUUGCUGGAAACCCUCCGAGCUUCCUGAUUUCCAAUCCUGUAAAAACCUCCUCCCCCAUCACUACCUUUGUCUCUUUGGGGGGUGGAGAGUGGGGGAAAAAAACCUUUUUCACUUGAGCAAAAUAAAAACUACCCAGUAUUUGUUUCUGGAGUGUAAUUAUAAACUUCAUUGUACAUUCUUCCU
rnacentral:lncRNA from 1 species